ACCAUCCACCGACUAACCGAACGCUUCCCCUUCUACCCUACACCCUCCCGCACCCGCUCCCCGCGGCACUCCUCUCUUCUUACUCGUUUCUCGCUUCGCCUUGAGUCAAGGGCGUCGACCGAUGGGGGCGACUCGCCGUCGCUGUUUCUCUCUUUCGAACGAUUUCGUAACGCUCUUUGCUGGACGACGCUUCUCAUGCGUGCCUAUGUAUAUGUAUAUAUAGAUAUAUGUACGUGCAUACGUAGAUUUAACGUAUAUGUUAAGUGCCUUUACAUUGGACGAUUUCCCACAAAUUCGAUUAACUCUUUUCGCACGAUUAGUUGUUAACGUAGUAAGAUUUUUCUUAUUUUCUUUCAUGUAAUACUUAUCGAAUAAUGGGGAUAAGAUAAGAAGUCAUUAAGGAAGAUAUUUCAAUCUUUGAUAUUCGCGUUCUCAGUAAGGAAACAGUAACUUUGUAUAUUGUAACAAUGUCGAGAGAGAGAGAGAGAGAGAGAGAAAGAGUGAGAGUCACGUGAUACAAGAGCGCAUUAAUUCGAAUACCUUACUCUUUCUACAAAAGCACACGCCAUGUAACGUGGAAUAUAAUACGAACGUUAGAAAAUCUUUAUCGACACCUCUGCUCUCUCUCUCUCUCUCUCACUCUCUCUGUCUUCUCUCUCUCUCUCUUUCUAUCUCUCUUACUCUCUCUUUCUCUAUCUCAUCGGUUCGUCCUACCUCGCGCACUCGACACUAGUAUCCACCCAGCUUCCGUCUCCUUUCCACCCACCGCGCGGAUGAAUUCACCGCGUUGUCGCGUCUCCCUCGCGCUCGCGUGUUUCUUAAUCUUCCACCUCUCCUCGUUGCUCUUCUAUUUCUCUCUUUCUCUCAUUCUCUCUCUCUCUCUCUCUCUCUCUAUCUCUGUCUCACUCAAACUACCCAGCGCAUCGCUGUUUCACUUACACUUGCCAACGCUUCCUCCCUUUUCUUCUCUUUGUCUACCGCGUUCCAGCUUUGCUCUCUCUCUCUUUGUCUUUCUCUGUCUCUCUCUCUCUCUUUCUCUCUUUCUCUCUUUCUCUCUCUCUCUCUCUCUCUCUCUCUCUAAACCUAUCUCUCUAUCUCUCUUGCACUAUUCACUCGUUCUCCCACUCACUCCCUCGCUUGCUCGCUCACUUACUCACUCAAACAUAUACACAUAACAUACACAAAGAGCUAUGCGGACGCUUCUCCGCAUAGCAUAUAUAUAUUUAUGUGUUAUAUACAUGCACAAUGAUACGUUUGGCUCUCUCGCACCAUUGUAAUAACGAAUGACAAGCUCACUCCCUCUUUCUCUUUCCUUCUCUCUCUCUCUCUCUCUCUCUCUCUCACUCUCACGAGACUGAAAAGGGAGAGAGUAUGGUGGAACCGAGUGCCGAAUGUUACUGAGUAUCGCGUGUAUACGUAACUGUAGUGUGAGAUCCGGAGAAAGAGAAAGGUCCGAGAAGGGAAGAGAGAGAGAGAGCGAGAGAGAGAGAAAGAGAGAGAGUGAGAGAUAGGGAGUGGGUGAACGAGUGAGGGAGCGAGAGGAAGAAGGAAGAGAGAUAGAGGGAGGAGAUGAGUCAAAGAGCUGGAGCCGGACAACGCAAGUCAAGCGGUAACAUGUAAGGAGAGACCUCGACGUGGGUGUAACCGCUGGUGAACGUAAACGAAAUGCCAUUUGUCGGUGUGCGCAAGGCGAGAGAGAACGGGGGAGAAGGAGAUCACAGAGAUGGGAGAACGCAAGAGUGAGAGUGAGAAAGAGAGAGAGAGAGAGAGAGAGAGAGAGAGGGAGAGAGAGAGAGAAAAGGAACGAAGAGGGAGGAUCGUGCGAAAGCAACAGAGACGGAGUGAGCCAUAAAUGCAAUUGGAAACCUUUAGCGGAAAUAUCAUUGGAACAUCCGGUACUCUCCGCGUGAGCACGCACGCACGCGCGCGCGAAUAAAGUUAUAUAUUAUAAUCGAAUCAUUUUAAAGCAUCUACGAGUCCGUCGAUGCAACCGAAA